AGCGUACACGGUGGAUGCCCUGGCAGUCAGAGGCGAUGAAGGACGUGCUAAUCUGCGAUAAGCGCCGGUAAGGUGAUAUGAACCGUUAUAACCGGCGAUUUCCGAAUGGGGAAACCCAGUGUGAUUCGUCACACUAUCAUUAACUGAAUCCAUAGGUUAAUGAGGCGAACCGGGGGAACUGAAACAUCUAAGUACCCCGAGGAAAAGAAAUCAACCGAGAUUCCCCCAGUAGCGGCGAGCGAACGGGGAGGAGCCCAGAGCCUGAAUCAGCAUGUGUGUUAGUGGAAGCGUCUGGAAAGGCGCGCGAUACAGGGUGACAGCCCCGUACACAAAAGCGCAUGUGCUGUGAGCUCGAUGAGUAGGGCGGGACACGUGGUAUCCUGUCUGAAUAUGGGGGGACCAUCCUCCAAGGCUAAAUACUCCUGACUGACCGAUAGUGAACCAGUACCGUGAGGGAAAGGCGAAAAGAACCCCGGCGAGGGGAGUGAAAAAGAACCUGAAACCGUGUACGUACAAGCAGUGGGAGCACAGGUUUACCUGUGUGACUGCGUACCUUUUGUAUAAUGGGUCAGCGACUUAUAUUCUGUAGCAAGGUUAACCGAAUAGGGGAGCCGGAGGGAAACCGAGUCUUAAUUGGGCGUUAAGUUGCAGGGUAUAGACCCGAAACCCGGUGAUCUAGCCAUGGGCAGGUUGAAGGUUGGGUAACACUAACUGGAGGACCGAACCGACUAAUGUUGAAAAAUUAGCGGAUGACCUGUGGCUGGGGGUGAAAGGCCAAUCAAACCGGGAGAUAGCUGGUUCUCCCCGAAAGCUAUUUAGGUAGCGCCUCGUGAAUUCAUCUCCGGGGGUAGAGCACUGUUUCGGCUAGGGGGCCAUCCCGGCUUACCAACCCGAUGCAAACUGCGAAUACCGGAGAAUGUUAUCACGGGAGACACACGGCGGGUGCUAACGUCCGUCGUGAAGAGGGAAACAACCCAGACCGCCAGCUAAGGUCCCAAAGUCAUGGUUAAGUGGGAAACGAUGUGGGAAGGCCCAGACAGCCAGGAUGUUGGCUUAGAAGCAGCCAUCAUUUAAAGAAAGCGUAAUAGCUCACUGGUCGAGUCGGCCUGCGCGGAAGAUGUAACGGGGCUAAACCAUGCACCGAAGCUGCGGCAGCGAACGUAUCACCCAAGACAACUUUACGGAGUUGACGAUUGACGGAGCGAAGCGACGUCAAAGCGUUCAUUAAAGUCGAGUUGGCUUAGGGAUACGUUCGUUGGGUAGGGGAGCGUUCUGUAAGCCUGUGAAGGUGUGUCGUGAGGCAUGCUGGAGGUAUCAGAAGUGCGAAUGCUGACAUAAGUAACGAUAAAGCGGGUGAAAAGCCCGCUCGCCGGAAGACCAAGGGUUCCUGUCCAACGUUAAUCGGGGCAGGGUGAGUCGACCCCUAAGGCGAGGCCGAAAGGCGUAGUCGAUGGGAAACGGGUUAAUAUUCCCGUACUUGGUGUUACUGCGAAGGGGGGACGGAGAAGGCUAUGUUGGCCGGGCGACGGUUGUCCCGGUUUAAGCGUGUAGGUGUGUGUUCCAGGUAAAUCCGGUUCACUUUAACACUGAGGCGUGACGACGAGGCACUACGGUGCUGAAGCAACAAAUGCCCUGCUUCCAGGAAAAGCCUCUAAGCAUCAGGUAACACGAAAUCGUACCCCAAACCGACACAGGUGGUCAGGUAGAGAAUACCAAGGCGCUUGAGAGAACUCGGGUGAAGGAACUAGGCAAAAUGGUGCCGUAACUUCGGGAGAAGGCACGCUGACACGUAGGUGAAGUGAUUUACUCAUGGAGCUGAAGUCAGUCGAAGAUACCAGCUGGCUGCAACUGUUUAUUAAAAACACAGCACUGUGCAAACACGAAAGUGGACGUAUACGGUGUGACGCCUGCCCGGUGCCGGAAGGUUAAUUGAUGGGGUCAGCGCAAGCGAAGCUCCUGAUCGAAGCCCCGGUAAACGGCGGCCGUAACUAUAACGGUCCUAAGGUAGCGAAAUUCCUUGUCGGGUAAGUUCCGACCUGCACGAAUGGCGUAAUGAUGGCCAGGCUGUCUCCACCCGAGACUCAGUGAAAUUGAACUCGCUGUGAAGAUGCAGUGUACCCGCGGCAAGACGGAAAGACCCCGUGAACCUUUACUAUAGCUUGACACUGAACAUUGAGCCUUGAUGUGUAGGAUAGGUGGGAGGCUUUGAAGUGUGGACGCCAGUCUGCAUGGAGCCGACCUUGAAAUACCACCCUUUAAUGUUUGAUGUUCUAACGUGGACCCGUAAUCCGGGUUGCGGACAGUGUCUGGUGGGUAGUUUGACUGGGGCGGUCUCCUCCUAAAGAGUAACGGAGGAGCACGAAGGUUGGCUAAUCCUGGUCGGACAUCAGGAGGUUAGUGCAAUGGCAUAAGCCAGCUUGACUGCGAGCGUGACGGCGCGAGCAGGUGCGAAAGCAGGUCAUAGUGAUCCGGUGGUUCUGAAUGGAAGGGCCAUCGCUCAACGGAUAAAAGGUACUCCGGGGAUAACAGGCUGAUACCGCCCAAGAGUUCAUAUCGACGGCGGUGUUUGGCACCUCGAUGUCGGCUCAUCACAUCCUGGGGCUGAAGUAGGUCCCAAGGGUAUGGCUGUUCGCCAUUUAAAGUGGUACGCGAGCUGGGUUUAGAACGUCGUGAGACAGUUCGGUCCCUAUCUGCCGUGGGCGCUGGAGAACUGAGGGGGGCUGCUCCUAGUACGAGAGGACCGGAGUGGACGCAUCACUGGUGUUCGGGUUGUCAUGCCAAUGGCACUGCCCGGUAGCUAAAUGCGGAAGAGAUAAGUGCUGAAAGCAUCUAAGCACGAAACUUGCCCCGAGAUGAGUUCU
rnacentral:rRNA from 1 species